AAGAUGGAGGAAAGCCAGGGAGCAGCUCUUGCAAAACCCUUCUGAGGGGAAAGGAAGGAUGUGUGAGGGAAAACACUGCUCUGGCUGCCAGUCGUUCUUGCCAGAACAGCUCAGCUGCUGGUGAGAGUGUGCUGGAUUGGGGGUGCCAGCCUGUGCCCCAAUGUUGAGUGUAGGGGAACUCAGAUGAAGUUAUAUAACCUGCCCUGGGGGCUCCUGCACAGAUAAGCUGGCAGAGGCCACUGGUGGUUCCUGACAAUUUCUGGAAUAGCCUUGACCGGAGGAGACACAAAAGAAGUAGAGAGCGACCUUUGCUUUCAAGGAGAUUAUGAUUCAAUUUUGAAAGAGAAUGCAAAAGUCCACAACGCUCAUCCUCAUCUUCUUCAGGAAUCACAAGUUCAGUGCAUUAAGAAAGACAAAGGUGAAGAGCGAUGUCAGCAACAUGAUGGAGUGAGCUGUUCCCUUUGUCUCUCCCCCUUCAAACUACAACUAAAUGGACAUUCAUUGAUCAGGGGAGAAUACCCACACAGCACAUCAGGGUUCCUGAGAGACCCACGCAGCUAUACAUCUGAAGGUGGGUGGACUACCUCAAGGGUGAUGGUGGUGGAGAUAGGUGAGCACCCUCUGACCCCCAGGCAGCCCUGUAUACACGUGUGACUGCUUUCCCAGCUGGAGUGCCCAUAGUGCCACUGAGACCUUGAGGGUGGGAGCGUGCCUUGGGGUACUACAGCCUCGAGGCCCUGCAUGAUUGCUUUCUCAUCCAGUGGGAGAGCCCACAGUGCUGCUGUGGUCCCCAAGGAGUGGCCCAGGCUCAGACCCAGUGGGGAGGCUUUGCCCACCAAUCACAGUGGCUGUUAUGACCUAGGAGGAGACACUGGUGGAUCUGUGGGCCCAGGAAAAUGAAUCCCAGCUGCUGCGAUUGCCCAUAGUACCACUGUGGCCUGAUGGGGG
rnacentral:lncRNA from 1 species